rnacentral:rRNA from 1 species
UACAGGGGGGGCAAGCGUUGUUCGGAAUUACUGGGCGUAAAGGGCUCGUAGGUGGCCAACUAAGUCAGACGUGAAAUCCCUCAGCUUAACUGGGGAACUGCGUCUGAUACUGGAUGGCUUGAGUUUGGGAGAGGGAUGCGGAAUUCCAGGUGUAGCGGUGAAAUGCGUAGAUAUCUGGAGGAACACCGGUGGCGAAGGCGGCAUCCUGGACCGACAUUGACGCUGAUGAGCGAAAGCUAGGGGAGCAAACGGG